ACGGGUGAGUAACACGUGAGCAACCUACCUUUUACAGGGGAAUAACACCGUGAAAACGGUGCUAAUACCGCAUGAUAUCAAAUUGUGGCAUCACAAAUUGAUCAAAGGAGCAAUCCGGUAAAAGAUGGGCUCGCGCCCGAUUAGUUAGUUGGUGGGGUAAUGGCCUACCAAGACUACGAUCGGUAGCCGAACUGAGAGGAUGAUCAGCCACACUGGGACUGAGACACGGCCCAGACUCCUACGGGAGGCAGCAGUGGGGAAUUUUCCGCAAUGGGCGAAAGCCUGACGGAGCAACGCCGCGUGAGGGAUGAAGGCCUCUGGGCUGUAAACCUCUUUUCUCAAGGAAGAAGACAUGACGGUACUUGAGGAAUAAGCCACGGCUAAUUCCGUGCCAGCAGCCGCGGUAAUACGGGAGUGGCAAGCGUUAUCCGGAAUUAUUGGGCGUAAAGCGUCCGCAGGCGGCCUUUUAAGUCUGUUGUUAAAGCGUGGAGCUCAACUCCAUUUCGGCAAUGGAAACUGGAAGGCUGGAGUGUGGUAGGGGCAGAGGGAAUUCCCGGUGUAGCGGUGAAAUGCGUAGAUAUCGGGAAGAACACCAGUGGCGAAGGCGCUCUGCUGGGCCAUAACUGACGCUCAUGGACGAAAGCCAGGGGAGCGAAAGGGAUUAGAUACCCCUGUAGUCCUGGCCGUAAACGAUGAACACUAGGUGUCGGGGGAAUCGACCCCCUCGGUGUCGUAGCCAACGCGUUAAGUGUUCCGCCUGGGGAGUACGCACGCAAGUGUGGAACUCAAAGGAAUUGACGGGGGCCCGCACAAGCGGUGGAGUAUGUGGUUUAAUUCGAUGCAACGCGAAGAACCUUACCAGGGUUUGACAUCCUGCGAAUUCCUUGGAAACUAGGGAGUGCCUUCGGGAGCGCAGAGACAGGUGGUGCAUGGCUGUCGUCAGCUCGUGUCGUGAGAUGUUGGGUUAAGUCCCGCAACGAGCGCAACCCACGUCUUUAGUUGCCAGCAUUUAGUUGGGCACUCUAGAGAGACCGCCGGUGAUAAACCGGAGGAAGGUGUGGAUGACGUCAAGUCAUCAUGCCCCUUACAUCCUGGGCUACACACGUACUACAAUGCUACGGACAAAGGGCAGCAAACUCGCGAGAGCUAGCAAAUCCCAUAAACCGUGGCUCAGUUCAGAUCGUAGGCUGCAACUCGCCUACGUGAAGGAGGAAUCGCUAGUAAUCGCAGGUCAGCAUACUGCGGUGAAUACGUUCCCGGGCCUUGUACACACCGCCCGUCACACCAUGGAAGUUGGCCACGCCCGAAGCC
rnacentral:rRNA from 1 species